AGGACGAACGCUGGCGGCGCGCUUAACACAUGCAAGUCGAGCGAGAACCAGGGCUUCGGCUCUGGGGACAGCGGCGAACGGGUGAGUAACACGUGGGCAAUCUGCCCUGCAUUCUGGGACAAGCCUUGGAAACGAGGUCUAAUACCGGAUACGACGCAUCCCCGCAUGGGGUGUGCGUGGAAAGCUCCGGCGAUGCAGGAUGAGCCCGCGGCCUAUCAGCUUGUUGGUGGGGUGAUGGCCUACCAAGGCGACGAC
rnacentral:rRNA from 1 species